rfam:Felis catus isolate Cinnamon breed Abyssinian chromosome A2, whole genome shotgun sequence.
GCCUGGGUGGCUCAGUCGGAUAAGCGUCUGACUUCGGCUCAGGUCAUGAUCUCACGGUUCGUGGGUUCGAGCCCCAUGUUGGGCU